UGGGGAAUAUUGCACAAUGGGGCGCAAGCCUGAUGCAGCCAUGCCGCGUGUGUGAAGAAGGCCUUCGGGUUGUAAAGCACUUUCAGCGAGGAAGGAAAGGUGGUGAGCUUAAUACGCUCAUCAAUUGACGUUACUCGCAGAAGAAGCACCGGCUAACUCCGUGCCAGCAGCCGCGGUAAUACGGAGGGUGCAAGCGUUAAUCGGAAUUACUGGGCGUAAAGCGCACGCAGGCGGUUUGUUAAGUCAGAUGUGAAAUCCCCGGGCUCAACCUGGGAACUGCAUUUGAAAACUGGCAAGCUAGAGUCUCGUAGAGGGGGGUAGAAUUCCAGGUGUAGCGGUGAAAUGCGUAGAGAUCUGGAGGAAUACCGGUGGCGAAGGCGGCCCCCUGGACGAAGACUGACGCUCAGGUGCGAAAAGGCGUGGGGGCAGCAAAACAGGA
rnacentral:rRNA from 1 species